GGGAAUUUAAACCUCUUCCAGAGUAUCAAUUGGAGGGCAAGUCUGGUGCCAGCAGCCGCGGUAAUUCCAGCUCCAAUAGCGUAUAUUAAAAUUGUUGCAGUUAAAAAGCUCGUAGUUGAAUUUCUGCUACAUUGCCUAUUCUCCUUUACGAGUUUGGGUCUUUUGUGGCUUAUCUGGGUUCGCUUGCGUUCCCGUGUAUUUUACUUUGAGAAAAUUAGAGUGCUCAAAGCAGGCUUUUGCCUUGAAUAGUUUGGCAUGGAAUAAUAAAAUAGGACUUCGUUCUAUUUUGUUGGCUCAGGUACCAAAGUAAUGGUAAA
rnacentral:rRNA from 1 species